rnacentral:rRNA from 1 species
AAUGGCAGGUCAGCAUACUGCCGUGAAUACGUUCCCGGGCCCUUGUACACACCGCCCGUCACACCAUGAGAGUUGGAGAUACCCGAAGCCUGUGAGCUAACAAACGAGGCAGCAGUCGAAGGUAGAAUCAAUGAUUGGGGUGAAGUCGUAACAAGGUACC